rnacentral:rRNA from 1 species
UUUUCGGAGAGUUUGAUCCUGGCUCAGAGUGAACGCUGGCGGCGUAGAUUAGGCAUGCAAGUCGAGCGAUAAUCUGGUUGGAGAGGUUGAAGCCGCAAGGCAGAUGCCAAUUCGACCGGAAUUAUAGCGGCAGACUGGCGAGGAACACGUGAGCAAUCUACCUUCAAUUCGGGGAUAGCUUCGCGAAAGUGGAGGUAAUACCCGAUGUGUUAAAAGGGGCGCAGGCCCUUUUUAGUAAAGACGGUCGCAAGAUUGUUGGUUGAAGAUGAGCUCGCGUCCUAUCAGCUAGUUGGUGGGGUAACGGCCUACCAAGGCUUUUGACGGGUAGCUGGCCUGAGAGGGUGGUCAGCCGCAUGGGGACUGAGACACUGCCCCAACUCCUACGGGAGGCUGCAGUCGAGGAUAUUUAGCAAUGGGGGAAACCCUGACUAUGUGACGCCGCGUGAGGGAUGAAGGCCUUCGGGUCGUAAACCUCUUUCGAUGGGGAAGAAACUUCCGGUUAACUCCCGGAACUGACGGUACCCAGAGAAGAAGCCAUGGCUAACUCUGUGCCAGCAGCCGCGGUAAUACAGAGAUGGCGAGCGUUACUCGGAUUUAUUGGGUGUAAAGGACAGGUAGGCGGCUUUGUAAGUUGGAGGUGAAAUCCUGCGGCUCAACCGCAGAACUGCCUUCAAAACUGCAAGGCUUGAGGCUAGAAGAGGAGAGCGGAAUUCCCGGUGUAAGGGUGAAAUCUGUAGAUAUCGGGAGGAACACCAGUGGCGAAGGCGGCUCUCUGGUCUGGCCCUGACACUAAGCUGCGAAAGCUAGGGGAGCAAACAGGAUUAGAUACCCUGGUAGUCCUAGCCGUAAACGAUGAGCACUAGGUGUUGGGGGGU